UACGUGUGAGGCAAGCGUUUAUUCGUCUUUAAUGGGUCUAAAGGGUACGUAGGCGGUAUAUAUAAUCUUUUUUAUAUUUCACCUGUGUGUGAAAUUGAUAUUUAUAUACUUGAGUUUUGAAGGGAGUAACAGACACGACAAGAGAAGUGUAACAAUACUAAGAUACUUGAGGGGUCGCAUAGCGGCGAAGGCAUGUUACUAUGUAGACUGACGUGAGGUACGAAGGCAUAGGUAUCGAUCGGG
rnacentral:rRNA from 1 species